AUGAUGAUGAGCAGCUAAGUAUUGACGUGGAUCAAUACUGGACCUCUGUUGUUGCAUGGAGAAUGAAGGUUGUCCCAUUGAGUCGAAAAGUGUAGACAUAUCAUAGGUGACCGGCAUGGUUGUGGCGGUGGUUGGUGGUAGGUCAGCAAAGGAGAAGACUGUUGGGGCCGCGGUCGCCUGUGGUGGUGGUAGCGGUGGUUGUUGGGUUAGCCCAGAUGAAUUAAUGUGGCUUUGUAAGUAGGAGAGUUCAGCUUGUAAACUCAUCACCUGUGGAAC
rnacentral:lncRNA from 1 species